UUUCCGUAGGUGAACCUGCGGAAGGAUCAUUAACGAGUAACGAUCCUUCUAACCCGACCUCAAACCCUUUGUUUUCUUACUAUUUUGCUUUGGCGCGCCCGCUUCAUCAGCCCCCCGAGUCCUCGGACUUAUCGCCCCAUCCCUCCAAUAGCCUUCUACAAAUUCUUGUUCACUUGGCAUUUCUGGGGAAUACAUUUAAUAAUUAAAACUUUUAACCACGGAUCUCUUGGUUCUGUCAGCGAUGAAGAACUCAGCAGAUCAGAUGAGCACACGUCUGAA
rnacentral:misc_RNA from 1 species